CGGGCCCCGGGGGCGGGACGGGACCGCACGGACGGAACGGGACGGGACGGGACGCGGCCGAGCUGGGAGCGGCCAUGGGGAAGCUGCUGGCGGUGGCUCUCGUCGGGAUCGCGGCAGCCUUGGCGGCCGAGCGGCUGCUGGCAUUCCGGAGCAGACUCAAUGCUUCACGGGAAGUAGCCCCGGUGAGCCUCCCGAACUGCCGGCUCAUUAAAGGCAUCGAAACUGGUUCAGAAGACAUCGAUAUACUUCCCAAUGGACUGGCUUUCAUCAGCUCUGGCUUGAAAUAUCCAGGAUUAAAGAGCUUUGCUCCAGAUAAGCCAGGUGAAAUAUUUUUGAUGGAUUUGAAUGAAGACAAUCCCAGAGCAGUGGAACUGAGAAUCAGCCGAGGGUUUGAUCUGGCAUCGUUCAACCCUCAUGGAAUCAGCACCUACAUAGACAGAGAUGACACCGUGUACCUCUUUGUGGUGAACCAUCCCCACCAGAAGAGCACUGUAGAGUUGUUUAAAUUUGUAGAAGAUGACAAUUCUCUUGUGCACCUGAAAACCAUUCGACAUGACCUUCUGACAAGUGUGAAUGACAUAGUAGCCAUGGGACCAGACAGCUUCUAUGCUACCAAUGACCACUACUUCUCUGAUUUCCUCUUGAUGUUCUUAGAAAUGUUCUUGGGUUUAACCUGGUCAAAUGUUGUUUACUACAGUCCAAAAGAAGUUAAAGAAGUAGCAUCUGGGUUUUAUUCAGCCAAUGGAAUUAACAUUUCACCUGAUAGAAAGUACAUCUAUAUUGCAGAUGUAUUGGAUCACAAUGUCCAUGUCAUGGAAAAACAUGCUAACUGGAGUUUAACCCAUGUGAAGACGCUGCAGCUGGACACGCUGGUCGAUAACUUGUCUAUUGACCCUCACACUGGAGACAUCUGGAUAGGAUGUCAUCCCAAUGGGAUGAAGCUGUUCCACUAUGAUCCUGAAAAUCUUCCUGCAUCUGAGGUGCUGCGCAUCCAGAGCAUCCUCUCGGAGCAGCCUGUGGUGACGCGUGUCUACGCUGACGACGGCUCCGUGCUGCAGGGCAGCUCCGUGGCAUCCCCCCACCAGGGAAAGCUGCUCAUCGGCACAGUCUUCCACAGAGCUCUCUUCUGUCAUCUAUAGCUCCUCAUGGGCAAGGCCUGCUGCUGUGGAAAGGAUUUCAUUCCUUGGGAACUCGCUUAGGUUCUGCUAGAUCUGCUAACAACAAGACUGUUCCAAUAAAGGUUAACUACAGUAAUGGAAAUGUAUUUUAGCCUUCCUCUCCAAAGUAAGACUUCUACACAAUAGUAAAGGACAUGGAAUUGAAGUGCUCCUGUGCUGAAGAUGUUCCUGUUGGUCUGCCUACAGAUGGAACCAUGGGCAAGUGAAGGCUCUUACCUUUUCCUACAGUGUUUGAGAGGAGAGACAUCCCAGCUGCCUGCUGUUCCUGACAGUGACAUCUGCCCUGAGGCCAGGAGGGCAGGAAGCCCAUUGCCAACCUCCUCCCAGGCUUCCCAGCCUUGCAGGGCAGAGCUGGGAGCUGGAGCAGGACAGGACACAGCCAGCCAGCAGGUGUGUGCAGCAAGAGCCACGCCGGGCCACAGCUCCUUCCCCUGGCAGCCUCAGGGCAGAAAGAGCCGGGUGCAAGAUGCAGCUCAAGCCUGGCCUCCCAAUUGCCAAGUAACCUGCACAUGGAAAAUCCAGGCUCACCAGCCCAAGGAGGGCAUAACCCAUCAUGUUUAACAUGCUGUAGAGACUGGAGCAGUUCUGGGCAUUUCUGAAACCUGGCUGCAGCUAUGUGAGACAACUUGCUCAAAAGGAAAGACAUAUGUACAGAUGGCUCCAGGCCUAGGGAGCUGCUGGGCAGACACAUUUUAUGUGUCAGUUGUGGACCCAGAGCAUCUUAGUAUAUCUAUUUUAAUUAAGAGAAUAAUUUU